rnacentral:ncRNA from 1 species
GAUAACUGGAACAUGUGGCUAAGUGUUCAUAGCAACUCUACUGUUUAGUCCCUGAAUGCUGGCUCUUCACUGAGAAGCAGACCUCAUCAAGUGUUGGAUUGUUCAUCCACUAAUAAGAAUGUGAGGUGGAAUCAGGCCAUCUUAAGAUAGGAC